UGGCUCAGAACGAACGCUGGCGGCGUGCUUACACAUGCAAGUCGAACGAGAAGUACGGGUAGCAAUACCUGUAUUGUAAAGUGGCGCACGGGUGAGUAACACGUGGGUAAUCUGCCCUCGAGUUUGGGAUAACCCCGCGAAAGCGGGGCUAAUACCGAAUAAGACCACGGGGACCAAAGUCCCUGAGGUAAAAGAUGGCCUCUAUUUAUAAGCUAUCACUUGAGGAUGAGCCCGCGGCCCAUUAGCUAGUUGGUAGGGUAACGGCCUACCAAGGCUAUGAUGGGUAGCUGGUCUGAGAGGACGAUCAGCCACACUGGAACUGAGACACGGUCCAGACUCCUACGGGAGGCAGCAGUGGGGAAUAUUGCGCAAUGGGCGAAAGCCUGACGCAGCAACGCCGCGUGGGGGAUGAAGGUUUUCGGAUUGUAAACCCCUUUCGACCGGAACGAAUCUCCUCUUGGUAAAUAAUCAGGAGGAUCGACGGUACCGGGAGAAGAAGCCACGGCUAACUCUGUGCCAGCAGCCGCGGUAAGACAGAGGUGGCGAGCGUUGUUCGGAUUUAUUGGGCGUAAAGCGAACGCAGGUGGUUUGGUAAGUCAGGGGUGAAAGCCCACAGCUUAACUGUGGCACUGCCUUUGAUACUGCCUUUCUUGAGUGCAUGAGGGGGAAGCGGAAUUCCGAGUGUAGAGGUGAAAUUCGUAGAUAUUCGGAGGAACACCGGUGGCGAAGGCGGCUUCCUGGCAUGUAACUGACACUCAUGUUCGAAAGCGUGGGUAGCAAACAGGAUUAGAUACCCUGGUAGUCCACGCCCUAAACGAUGGGCACUAGGUGUGGGAGGUAUCGACCCCUUCCGUGCCGCAGCUAACGCAUUAAGUGCCCCGCCUGGGGAGUACGGCCGCAAGGUUAAACUCAAAG
rnacentral:rRNA from 1 species